CAACAGUUGCUAGAGCAUUUGAACACAGUUACUAAAAGUACUGUAAGAUGAACAGUAAUCCACUUCAACUCAGUUUUUAAAAGCCAUGGGUUAUUCUAACAACAAAGUAUCUGCUUAGGCAGAAAAUGUCCUAUGUUUCUGUCCUUAGGCAGAAGAUGUCUGCUUAGGCAGAAAACUUGUCCCUAUGUUGAUGUCAAUAUUAUCUUGCUUGUCCCUUCUGAAUAAAUUUUUACUCAUAAAUCCUUUUGUAUGAAGCAUUAAAAGCCAGAUUCCAACUUCAGUACAGGUUUUGUUUUGUUUGUUUGUAUCAGUGUAAAAGCCAGAUCAGUGAAAGGUAAAACCUAUUCGUAGGCCACAUCUGAGUGAGGAGACACCUCUGGAUUUGGAGACACCAGCAUCAAUGGGUGUAGCAUUGUGGUCAUGUACACUGGGGUUUGCUGAGAACCAUACUCAUUCCAUGUUUUGGUAACUUAACUUUGAUACAUGUCUCCAUUUCCAAUUGCAAUUGGGAUAACAGCUCAAAAGGUGUUUGGAGCCUGAAAAUGAAGGCUGGGCCAAAAGGGCCUAAGCAUGGGCAACCCAUUCUCCAUACACAUCGCAGUCAACACCAGAGAUUUGCUACUAAGAGGUAUUUAGAUGCAGUUCUCCAAGGGGAAUGUAAAUUAUGUCUCUGUAUUAUCUCUGUGCUCUGUAUUGCCUAUGAACUAUGCCUUUUCAUGAAAGCUAUGUUGCUUUUACAGCCCACAUUCUUAAGUAUACUGAGGUAAGACCACUGAGGAAAGCAAGCGUUUAUUUAAAGAGUAUGUUUAAUACAUGCCAUAACUAAUGGGCUCCAAAAUACAAAUCAGAAGCUAUAGAGAGCAAUUAAAUAGAGACCUCCUGUGGCUUUACAUUUAUAUUCAUCUUUAUUUUCAAAAGCAUUAAGCUGUUUGCUAUAAAAUAACAAAUGUGAGAAUUGGCAAAUUGUUCUGAAAGAAGUCUCUUACUUCUUAGAAACUCGGCACUUUUUAGUUCUACCACACUUGGAAGUCUAGUGGCGUAUUCAUCAAUUAAAGUUUAUUGUGAAAUAUACUGAAUGUAUUUACUACUGUGGCUAACUAUGUGAAAAUGAUUGUUUUGCAGUAAAAAAGGUUAUGGCACUUACAAUUUUGGGAUCUGCUGAAGCAUGUUUGCUAAUUGAUCUUUUUUCUGUGUUUUAACCUAUUCUAUGGUUGUUUGCCCUUUGUGCAAUUUGAGUUCAGCAACAGAUGAUUAGGUAAGGUUUUACACUGAUAAAAUUUGAAAAUACCAUAGUCGUCAUUGUUAAAAUGUGUUUUAAGAAAAAGUGCAGUAAAAAGAAAAAAACCCCAAACCCAACAAUUUUUACUUGUGAAAUGAAGCAGCUACGUGCCAGUUUUUAUGAAUGGUCCUGCUCUCUUCUCUGUAUUCUUUUGCAGUGUUUACAGAAUGCCGUGCAUGUUUGGUAGUACCAAUACCAUAUGUAUGUGGUAGGAGUGGUAACCAGUUUCUGGAUUUGUAAUGCACUAUAAAGCUAUAUUUUAUAAUUCUGUAACUGUAUGGCAGUGUUAUGCCAAAAAAAA
rnacentral:lncRNA from 1 species